ensembl:lncRNA RMST rhabdomyosarcoma 2 associated transcript
UCUUUCACUCCUUAAAAGAAAAUCAAUCAAUUAAUACACAAAGAUAAAAGUGAGAAACCUACUGUAAUCUACUAAGGUCCAGGAAUUUAAAGAAUCAAAUGUACCUUCUGGGUUUCGGAAUCCAUCGGGGAGAAUGUAGAGGGUGAUGAGAAGACUUUGCAUUUGACCAAAAAGCACUAGUAAAUAAGGAGUUAAAAUGAAGGCAGGCUCGCUGGUUUGCUGAGAUCUGUCAGAGUCUGACUGGCUGGCUACAUAUCUGUCUCUGGAACAAUAGGUACCUGUAUUCUGCACGGACUGCUGGGCAGCACUAGCACUCUGGAGAAGGUCUGCCGCUGUCUGCACUUUCCUGGUUCUAUGCAGGCAGAUGAGUGUCACAGCUGUAACUGAGGCACAGAGCAGUACACACAGUGGAGCCGAUUUCCGCGAUGGCGAGAGGGGGCACCGGAGGUGACAACAAUAACAAGACUGUCCUUCGGACAAGUUUUAGCGCUGAAUAUCUUCAGGAAAAUGGGUUCCAUGAGAAGUGACAUCCUCCUCGAAUCAAAAGAUUCUCAGGAUGAUGGAGUGAGUGAUGGAAUAGGUUGCCAACUGUAGUUACUCCACUCAGCACAGAAUGGCUGCGGGGAAAUAUAAUCAGACAUGCCCAAAGAAGUCUGCUUAGGGUGAAACAAAUACCUUUGAGGUUUAAAUCAGAAACUACACGAUUUUUGUUGCUAUAUUUUGUUAGAAAGGAAGGAGAGACUGUUUCUACAGGUGUCAUACAAAAAUCAAUACUGAGCCAAGGAUUAUUGGAUCCCAUAGAACCACGGAGACUUGGUAGUGAAAUUCUUCCAAAGGCAGAUGGUGUUCCUAGGUUUGGAAAUAUAAAUCCCAUGGGAAGUCAGCUGAAGACCAUUUUAUGCAUCACUCAUCCUGUUAGAGCCCUGUGCUGUUCUGUCUCUCUAUAAGACUGGCUGAAACCACCACGGUUGUUUACAAUUUAUGCUCUAACUUUGGAUCACCUAGUUAAUACUCUAACUCCGAUUAUUACCAAAGACAAUGUUCUAUAAAAGAUAUUGUCUAUUAGAAGGAUGCUUCUGCAUUAUUAAUAAAAUCACAGGGAAAAUGCAACAUUUUGGAUGUCACAUCUGAUAAGUGGGUGACUGAUCGUACCCGCCAGCUGGCUAAUGUCAUAAUUAACAAAGUUGCUACUACAUCUGCAAAGUUUAAUCGAAAAAUUUGCCAGUGAUAUGAUGGCCUUGUCACAGAGAUCACAAGGGACACGGAGUUGACUUUUGCUCAAGGUGGAACGACAGAGCUGUGUAGGCAAGAUGAGAAAUUGCGAACUUGUUCGGCCAAAGGAACGACUAUGCUCUGGAGAGUCCUGUAAUUUGCAGAAAAUGGACCAAGAUAACAUUUGAGUUCCAUGCUACCAAAAUCCUCUUGAGAAGGACAGCUAGCUACCCAGAAUAUUUAACAUUGUGACAUUGAAAUGUUGGAUGAACGAUUAAAAUGAAGAAUCUAGUCAUAGGUUGUAAGAAAUCGCUAAAUUAUUAUGUUUAAUCCAAAGAAGAGAAAGGAAAAGCUGUUUUCAUUCCCCCCAGCCUCUGAGGAGGCUAAUAAUGAAGGGGCCGGGAAGGAGGCCAGUGCUACCAGGGUUAUCUCACAACCUCAGAUGCUGGAUAAGUCGACGGAGGCAGAAUCGCUUUGGGAUGACAUUCAGAAAGCCUGGAGUGAUUACUUGCAAGAGAAAAGCCUACCUAUUCUUUCCAAGGUGCAGGAAUAUUCCCCUGACCUGCUCAUCCAGUGGUCCAGUAAUGAAUUACUGGAGACCUGCCUUAGACAAAGAAUGCACUCGGAGCCCCAACACACCUAAAGCCAUGCUUUGAAGGAUCUGCCAAGCUCACUUUUAAUCAUGAGAAAGAAAUUACCCACACGGAGUCAGCAGAAAAUGAGAAAGUAGAGCUCGUGCUGUGAAUAAUUCCAGCAAGUGCCAAGGGGCUAGUUGAGGAAUGGCUUCAUGAGAUGUUAGUCUAAAACAGCACCUUGGAUCUAAGCAGCACCUUUGAGAAAGAAAAGACUGCUUCAAGAAUGUCUAGUUGCACCUCCUUUCCGUAUGUGGCCUAAAUGCCUAGGUUGGAUCAAUAGUUUAAUUUUUUUAUUGAACUGUUUAAUAUUGACUAUGGACUUACAUUCACUUUUACUGUUUUCUGUAUAUUUACUUUUGCUUGAAGUGUUUUAAUAUUGACUAUUUACCUCUGCUCAUUUUUAUUGAUUUUCUGUAUUUUUUCAAUGAAAAUUAUAAUAAAAAUUAUUUUUG